rnacentral:rRNA from 1 species
UUUAACCCGUACGGUAAUUGCUAUUUAGUAAACGUGGCGAGGACUAGAGUUCUUGUAGGAGGGGGGUAGGAAUUUCAGGUGUAGCGGUGAAAUGCGUAGAGAUCUGAAGGAAUACCAGUGGCGAAGGCCGGCCCCCUGGACAAAGACUGACGCUCAGAUGACGAAAGCGUGGGGAGCAAACAGGAUUAGAUACCCUGGUAG